rnacentral:rRNA from 1 species
UACGGAGGAUGCGAGCGUUAUCCGGAUUUAUUGGGUUUAAAGGGUGCGCAGGCGGCGAGUUAAGUCAGCGGUAAAAUUUCGGGGCUCAACCCCGACAAGCCGUUGAAACUGGCUCGCUAGAGUGGGCGAGAAGUAUGCGGAAUGCGUGGUGUAGCGGUGAAAUGCAUAGAUAUCACGCAGAACUCCGAUUGCGAAGGCAGCAUACCGGCGCCCAACUGACGCUCAGGCACGAAAGCGUGGGUAUCGAACAGG